rnacentral:rRNA from 1 species
CAGCAGCCACGGUAAUACGGAGGGUGCAAGCGUUAUCCGGAUUCACUGGGUCUAAAGGGUGCGUAGGCGGGCAGGUAAGUCAGUGGUGAAAUCUUCGAGCUUAACUCGGAAACUGCCGUUGAUACUAUCUGUCUUGAAUAACGUUGAGGUGAGCGGAAUAUGUCAUGUAGCGGUGAAAUGCUUAGAUAUAACAUAGAACACCGAUUGCGAAGGCAGCUCACUAAACGCUCAUUGACGCUGAGGCACGAAAGCGUGGGGAUCAAACAGGAUUAGAUACCCCGGUAGUCCCUGUCUCUUAUAA